GGUUUACCUCCCAAGUUGGCAGUUUUGUUCCUGUCCACCAACCCACAGGCAACAAACUCACUCUGGGGGCUAAUUCGGGGUGUCCCAGAGCCCAGCAGAGAUCCUAUAGCGGCAGGCCUGAGACCCAUCUAUGCUGCAAGACGUCCCAUUCUGGAAGCCUGAACGUCACCAGCUUGAAAUCCCUGUCCCCUAAGAAUUUGGGAUCAGAGCUGGCCCAGUGUCAGUGCCUGCAAAAAUGAGCAAAGACACUUUUGACCCUUUCCCGUCACCUAGGGUGGCACAAGGCUGCUACGGAGCUGCAGAUGGGCAAUGGAUCCCAGGCAGGCACCUCUGCUUUUGCCUCCCAGCACUUGUGACAUCCACUUCAAGGACCUACUGCCUAAACCCUGGGUUGGGAAGGCUUCUUUUGCAAGGUAUGCAUGACUCUGCCUUUUGUUUUCAGUCUUGCUUCAUAGGUAACCAACAGCCCAACCUCAUUCAAGCUCACACUCGGCAUUCGGCAAGGACCGGUCGUUCUCCAUGUACCCCUUUCCACAUGCUGCCCCGAACAAGGGAUCAGAUCUCCGGCUUUGGCAACUUCUCGCUGUAUAGGUGUCACGAGCUGGAAGUGGCACCAGGAGAAGUAACAGGUCCAGCCGUGGACACGGGCUGUGGGUGUGUGUCAGCACCGGUCCUGCUUGAACCCGUUCUGAUUUCAUGAAGCAGCCGCUGGUGAAGCUGUGGCUAUGGGAGUGCAAGAAGGGUGCCCCUGGGGAGUCCCUGGCAUACCUGUAAUAGGCUUAUAGACGCACGUGCAAACUCUGGCACCUACGAUGCACCAUGUCCAGGCUUCUGCUCUUGGGGAGCAGGUCAAGGGCCUCGUGGUCGGUCAUUAGCUGGAAGCCAUCCAGGCCUGGUGAGUGUGCAGGGCUCGCAGCCUCCCCCAGCACGGCUCCGUUUGGACAGACCAACCUCAAGGAGCAAGAGGUGCCUAGGCGGAGCGGCAGGCGGCCAUAGACAGCAGUGAGGCCAAAGGCUGGCAUUUCGUGACAGCACAAGGUGCAAGGAAGAGCAGACUGCUUGUUGCAUGUAUGUGCUGCGCCAGGGGAGGCUCCAGCACCCCUGCAGCAAGGGACCCAGCCCCGGGGCCGAGUCUGUGCUGCAAAGAGGUCACGUGAAGAAGCUGUUAACCUCCUUCCCCUUUUUUUUAAACAUGCAUGUGCACACACGCGCGCGCACUCGGAGCUGCUGGCCUCAUGGGUGUGCAGGUGGAUGCCCUCCCCUGUGCCUGCGCCCGCGCCCCGGGGAGAGAAGCAGUGCCCGGCAGGGCAGGGAUGCCAGGCGGCCCUGCAGCCAGCUCAGCGCUCACGGCUUUCCAGCCCCGACGGCUUUCCAGCCCAGCGCGGGUUGCAAGGGACGGCAGAGGGUUAAUGGCAUUGCACUGGGACAAAGGCCACGAGAAGGAGAGUAAAACAUUAACUUCAAGGACCUGCCUCUCCUCUGCUGCACAUUGGACCUGAUCCUGAUCCUGAUCCUGAUUGCAAGGGCCAGAUCCUGGGCUGGCGUUACCAUUGCAGUCCAGAAAGACGCCCCUUUACCCCAGCUGAGACCCUGGCCCCUGCAGCACAAACCCACCGCCCAGCAGGCACCUCGGGGAAGGCGGGUGGAAAGCCGGAGCGGGCUGGGCCCACCUACAGGAACCUGUUUGCUUUCCCAGGGCACCCAAAGAGCUCCGGGAGGGUGGAGACACCUGCCCUGUUUGUUCUCAAGGACUGCUUAUCCCGGAGUCCAAACCACUUUACCGUGACAUGCAAGAGCCCUGGGUCAUGCUCAGAUCCACCCCGCUCCGCUGUGCACUUUUGCACACUCUUGUGAAAAAAAAAACCCAGCUGUUUCUAUCCCUCUUCCCCUCCCGUGCCCUGCUCUCCAGCCUGCUCUGUCUGGGCGAGCCCCUGCCCGAGACUGGUUUCGUGCCAAACACCUGUCGCUCCCCCUCCAAACCCUGCCGGCCCAGAGCUAGGGGUGGCGGGGCGACUCCAAUAGGACUCGACUGCCUCGACUUGCACAUGCACGGAGAAGAUGGGCUCGCGUGGUUCCCGUGCGCCCAGAGUCCUGGUCGACUCUGAAUACAGUGAGGAAAGCGGCAAAACCCAGGCAAGUGUGGGAGAACUGGACCGCUCUUUCUUGGGGGGUCCAGGGGAAUUGUGGGAAGACACUGGAGGACUCACUCUCACUGCAAAGCGCGCUCGAUCUGCUUCUUGGAGUCCUGCGGGGCAGAGAGAGCGGCCGCGGUGAGCGAGAGGCCGUCGCCUCUGCCUGUCGCGGGCUCGGGGCAUGGCUCAGAUCUGCCUUUGCCAUAGAAGCCCUGAGCCAGCCCCGGGGACUGUCAUGACCCCACUGCGCAGGGCUUGCUCUUGCCCAGGAGCUUGUGCCAGCUGGGCAGAGGGCAAAGGACAAGCCCCCUUGCUGCCUACGGGUCCCUGGACCGAAGCCCAGCACUGCUGCUUCAUAAAGGCACCGGACCAACAGCCCAGCUCUGCCAUGGAUACCUCCCAUUGUGGACAUGUCACUUAAUGGCUCUGUGCCUCAGUUUCCCACUCUAUAAAAUGGGCAUCAGUCUUUCCUGUUUGUCUUCUCCACUGGCCUUUGGGGGAGGGGUUGCCUUUCUCCCGCUCUGUACAGCGCCUAGCACAGUGGGGCCUG